rnacentral:rRNA from 1 species
GAUGAACGCUGGCGGCGUGCUUAACACAUGCAAGUCGAACGGUGAAGCAGAGCUUGUGCUGUGGACCAGUGGCGAGAGGGUGAGUAAAACAUGAGAAAAAUGCGCCCGACUCUGGGGUAAGAGCUGGAAAAGGCGGCGCAUAUUGGAGAUAAGCUGCGCCCGCGUGGGCAGGGGGUGGAAAGAUUUUGCGGUCUGGGAUGGGCUCGCGGCCUAUCAGCUUGUUGGUGAGGUAAUGGCUCACCAAGGCUUUGGCGGGUAGCCGGCCUGGGAGGGUGACCGGCCACACUGGGACUGAGACACGGCCCAGACUCCUACGGGAGGCAGCAGUGGGGAAUAUUGCACAAUGGGCGGAAGCCUGAUGCAGCAACGCCGCGUGAGGGAUGACGGCCUUCGGGUUGUAAACCGCUUUUAGCUGGGAAGAAGCGAAAGUGACGGUACUUGCAGAAAAAGCGCCGGCUAACUACGUG